CGUGUAGGCGGUGCGGUAAGUUGGGCGUGAAAUCCCCGAGCUUAACUCGGGUGGGCCGUUCAAGACUGCCGUGCUAGGGUGCGGGAGAGGGAAGUGGAAUUUCCGGUGUAGCGGUGAAAUGCGUAGAUAUCGGGAGGAACACCUGCGGCGAAGGCGGCUUCCUGGACCGUAACCGACGCUGAGGCGCGAAAGCUAGGGGAGCAAACAGGAUUAGAUACCCUGGUAGUCCUAGCCCUAAACGAUGAGCACUGGGUGUGGCCCCUCACGGGCCGUGCCGAAGCUAACGCAUUAAGUGCUCCGCCUGGGGAGUACGGUCGCAAGGCUGAA
rnacentral:rRNA from 1 species